rnacentral:rRNA from 1 species
UGGAAACAGGGUUUAUCCGAUUCGUCGGAACAGAGUGACAGGUGCUGGCAUGGCUGUCGUCAGCUCGUGUCGUGAGAUGUUGGGUUAAGUCCCGCAACGAGCGCAACCCUUGUCUCUAGUUGCCAGUAUUAAGUUAGGGACUCUAGCGAGACUGCCGGUAAUAAACCGGAGGAAGUGGGGAUGACGUCAAAUCAUCAUGCCCCUUAUGACCUGGGCUACACACGUGCUACAAUGGGCGGUACAAAGGGCUGCGAACCCGCGAGGGGGAGCGAAUCCCAAAAAGCCGCUCUCAGUUCGGAUUGCAGGCUGCAACUCGCCUGCAUGAAGCCGGAAUCGCUAGUAAUCGCGGAUCAGCAUGCCCGCGUCGAUACGUUCCGGGCCUU